AGCUGGACUUUGCAGAAAUUCUUUAAUGAGCCAAGCACUCUGGCAGACAUAUAUAAUGUUACAGUGUAGUGGGCAUUAUUAUAGUUACUCUACUGAUGAAAAAAAUGAGGGCUCAGAGAGUUUAAAAAUUUACUCAAAUGUUUCUCAGACUCACCACAAAACAUCCGUGAGGCUCGACUCACUUCCUGUGUUUUUCUGCCCAAACUAAUUCACAGCCACUCUCAUGCCAUAGGGCCAAUGUAUUGAACGGGUGUUUAUGAACUUCCAUGAUGCCUCGUUUUUGCUAGGUAAGAAGCACCGUGGCACCACAGGCAUGAGUCUAUGCUAAAGCCAUAUUCCUGGAGUUUUAGUUCUAACACUGAGGAAACUGAAGAAGUUAUUUAGCCUCCCCAUGCUCCCAUAUCUUCAUCUGUAAAAAGUGAGUAGUAAUAAGGUUGUUUGGAGAAUUAAAUAAGAUAAGGCUAUUAAAGCACUGAGCUAAGUCCUGACAAAGGGUAGGUGCUCAGUGGGUAUUUCUGGUGAAGGUGAUGAUGACAGUGAUGAUGCUGUGGUUAUGCAAGAUGCAGAGAUAACUUAAAGACACUCACACCCAGCAGCCAGGUAGAGAGCUAGACACGCCACCACACAGUUGAUUGUGAGAAAGGUAUAAAUAACAGGUACAGCAGUUUAGCUGGCAGAAAGCACUCUUGGCUAAGGUUAUCAGGAAAGGUUUUCUACAGGUGUUAGUAUCUAAGCUGGGUCCUCCAAAUAUGUAGGCUUUGGAGAUGCAAGGAUAGACUGGAGGGCCAGUGUUGAUUAAACAAAAUCAAACCUGGCAAUAACUCCUUCCGUAAAGCUGAGAUAUUUUCAAGUUGUCUUUACUACAUGUUCUGCCAUGAAAAAUUGUGAUGAGAAUUUUACAUUUAUAUAGCACAUUUAUUUUUAGAGGCUCCAGUGAUAUUAAUAGAAGAUAAAAACCUUCAAUUUUAAUGUUGGUCCUUCUUAAAAAAUAUAUGUUCUAUCCCUUUUCUUCCAAUGGGCUCUCUAACUCAUAUCAGACUUAGUGGGAUGUUUGGACUAACUGUGAAAUCUGAAAUUAUUUGAAUAUUAAAAAUUAAAAAAAGUUUUAAGAAAUAUUUCAAAAGUAAAGUUUGUUGAGAAAAUCUUGGUAACAAAGGAAUACCAAUUAUGUUCAGAAGUGCCAGGGAGUUGGAUGGAGCAACAAUCCAGGAAACAAAUGUUGAGAUGAAGGGCAUGUUAAAUAUGCUAUCAGGGUACCCAUGGAAUAUUUUCCACUUUGGAGGCAGACAACUAAGGACCCUAUAAAAUGCAGGUCAAGGAGUGGUAGACAGUGUUUCUUUGAGCAUUUUGCAAGACACAGCAAAAUACACUUCCCAGUGCCCAAUAAUGGUAUUAUGAGCCCUGGAUCGUCAGAUCGUACCAGCCUGGUGCUGUGUGCUGUGACAUGUUGAUCAUGACACAUUAUUGCAUGUGACACCCUUUGAAAGGAAGCUUCAUCAAAAUCCUGCUUUACCAUCAGCAAGACGAAAAAUCUGCUGGCAUUGGAACAA
rnacentral:lncRNA from 1 species